rnacentral:rRNA from 1 species
GACGAACGCUGGCGGCGUGCUUAACACAUGCAAGUCGAACGGAAAGGCCCUGCUUUUGUGGGGUGCUCGAUUGGCGAACGGGUGAGUAACACGUGAGUAACCUGCCCUUGACUUUGGGAUAACUUCAGGAAACUGGGGCUAAUACCGGAUAGGAGCUCCUGCUGCAUGGUGGGGGUUGGAAAGUUUCGGCGGUUGGGGAUGGACUCGCGGCUUAUCAGCUUGUUGGUGGGGUAGUGGCUUACCAAGGCUUUGACGGGUAGCCGGCCUGAGAGGGUGACCGGGCACAGUGGGACUGAGAUACGGCCCAGACUCCUACGGGCGGCAGCAGUGGGGAAUAUUGCACAAUGGGCGGAAGCCUGAUGGAGCAACGCCGCGUGCGGGAUGACGGCCUUCGGGUUGUAAACCGCUUUCGCCUGUGACGAAGCGUGAGUGACGGUAAUGGGGAAAGAAGCACCGGCUAACUACGU